rnacentral:rRNA from 1 species
UGAGGAAUAUUGCUCAAUGGCCGAAAGGCUGAAGCAGCAACGCCGCGUGAGGGAUGAAGGUUCUAUGAAUCGUAAACCUCUGUAGAAAGGGAGAAAUUUUCGCCUCAGGCGAGUUGAUAGUACCUUUAAAGUAAGCCCCGGCUAACUACGUGCCAGCAGCCGCGGUAAUACGUAGGGGGCAAGCGUUGUCCGGAAUCACUGGGUGUAAAGGGUGCUCAGGCGGAUUUGUAAGUCGUUGGUGAAACUCUGCAGCUUAACUGCAGAACUGCCUAUGAUACUGCAAGUCUAGAGUGCGGGAGAGGGUGAUGGAAUUCUUGGUGUAGCGGUGAAAUGCGUAGAUAUCAAGAAGAACACCAGUUGCGAAGGCGGUCACCUGGCCCGAUACUGACGCUCAAGCACGAAAGCGUGGGGAGCAAACAGG